AUGAACGCUGGCGGCGUGCCUAAUACAUGCAAGUCGAGCGAACAGACGAGGAGCUUGCUCCUCUGACGUUAGCGGCGGUCGGGUGAGUAACACGUGGAUAACCUACCUAUAAGACUGGGAUAACUUCGGGAAACCGGAGCUAAUACCGGAUAACAUGUUGAACCGCAUGGUUCAACAGUGAAAGACGGUCUUGCUGUCACUUAUAGAUGGAUCCGCGCCGCAUUAGCUAGUUGGUAAGGUAACGGCUUACCAAGGCAACGAUGCGUAGCCGACCUGAGAGGGUGAUCGGCCACACUGGAACUGAGACACGGUCCAGACUCCUACGGGAGGCAGCAGUAGGGAAUCUUCCGCAAUGGGCGAAAUCCUGACGGAGCAACGCCGCGUGAGUGAAGAAGGUCUUCGGAUCGUAAAACUCUGUUAUUAGGGAAGAACAAAUGUGUAAGUAACUAUGCACGUCUUGACGGUACCUAAUCAGAAAGCCACGGCUAACUACGUG
rnacentral:rRNA from 1 species